GUGUCAUAUAGGAAAAAUGUCACAGCUGGAGUGAGAAAUCUGGGAGUGGCAUGAAAAGCAAGAGCCUGGAUGACCCCGGAAGAAUGAAACAGUGAACAAGAAAGGGUAAGCCGCCAAGAAUGGAGGAGGACCAGAGCAGCAACCAGAGUGAAGCCAGCCCAGCUUGAAGUCAGGAGAGGCAGACGUGAGGAAGACGGGAACUCCCAGGGAGUCUCUGUGGAGAGGGGACAAGCUUUCACCUUUGUUUAACCUCGUCUUUCGUGGUUUCAUCUCUCUGGAGUUCCCUGGGGAUGGGUGCCAGGUCAAGUUGUAAGCUCUCAGUUCCUCCAGUGCUGUGUCUACUUAUCCACUGCCACUGCCAUGCUGCCUACCAUGAUGGUCAUGGAUGGACUCUAACCAUGAGCCCAAAAGACCUGAAUGGCACUACCAUGUGGUGGUCACACAGCUCCACCAUUGUGAGGAAGGAUACUCCAUCAUGUUUUUGAGUCUUGGGACUGAGGGGGAAAUGAAUUCUUGUCAUUUCCCUGGACAGGCACAGGAAACAGCAUGCUAGGUGGAAGAGGGCGAGCCAUUGGAGAAUCACCUAAGCAUCCAGGAAGACAAAAACCAAAGCCCCAGCAGAACAGAUUAACUCAGGGGCAGACAAAAGGCUGCCAGAUCCCACCUCCAGGUUGACUACCCAACACUCUGGCUCCUGCAAUGCCCAGUGGAGUGAUGACUUCAAGAUCUGCCUCCCUAUCCUAAAGACAUGCCUCUCCCCGUCCAAGCUCCUAGACAUUUAAGCUGCAGCAUUGGAACACUUCAUCUAUUUAGAACUAGAUGUGCCGACAACUGUCUUGUAUAGAGAUAAGGUCAACACUGAGUGGGUGAAGAAGUCUCUGAACAACCAAAGUGAAUGAACUCAAGCUCAGCCAUUGAAGCUCGUUAUCCUACUCAAAGGAAAGUUACUCGACCCUCACUCAGAGGUCGUGCACCGACAUUUAACUGCAGAUCUGACAAGUUCUGGUGCCCAGUAUCUCUGCAGGAAUACCAAUCAGAAGAGGAACAAGCUGGAAAUGACUACCGAAGCAUGCUAACGGCACUAAAAAGUAAUGCUCGGGGAAUGUGAAGGUCUGCAAAGGCACAAAGUGAAAAGGUGUUGUGAGAGUCAGAGCCACUGUGUGAGAAGAAGGCAGCCUGACCAUGCCAUUUAUCCAUUAGCAGCUAUUACUUUUGGCUGCUAGUUAAAGGAGAUGGCUUACACUUAAGAAGCUGUGGGGGUAUUUUUCACACACAUACCAUGACACCCAGAGGAAGACGUUGUGGUAGGGUGGCUCAUUGGUUUUAUUACAAGCCUUCUGAAUUUUGCAUCCCUGUUCUUG
rnacentral:lncRNA from 1 species